rnacentral:rRNA from 1 species
GAUGAACGCUGGCGGCGUGCCUAAUACAUGCAAGUCGAGCGAACAGACGAGGAGCUUGCUCCUUUGACGUUAGCGGAGGACGGGUGAGUAACACGUGGGUAACCUACCUAUAAGACUGGGAUCACUUCGGGAAACCGGAGAUAAUCCCGGAUAAUAUUUCGAACCGCAUGGUUCGAUAGUGAAAGAUGGCUUUGCUAUCAGUUAUAGAUGGACAUGCGCCGUAUUAGCUAGUUGGGAAGGUAACGGCUUAUCACGGCAACGAUACGUAGCCGAACUGAGAGAGUGGUAGGCCGCCCGGGAACUGGAACGCGGUCCAUGCUCCUACGGGAGGCAGCAGUAGGGUACCGGCCGCAAUAGUCGAGAGCCUUGCGCAGUAACGCCACGCGUGAUAUGGCAAUCUUCGGAGCGGAAUGCCCUGUUUCUGGUUAUAAACAAACUUGUAAUGUGCUGUACACUGCUUGACGGUACCUAGUCAGAAAGCCACGGCUAACUACGUG